rnacentral:rRNA from 1 species
GCGAGUGAAGCGGCAACAGCUCAAAUUUGAAAGCUGGCUUAGGCCCGCAUUGUAAUUUGCAGAGGAUGCUUUUGGUGAGGUGCCUUCCGAGUUCCCUGGAACGGGACGCCAUAGAGGGUGAGAGCCCCGUAUGGAUGGCCACCAAACCUGUGUAAAGCUCCUUCAACGAGUCGAGUAGUUUGGGAAUGCUGCUCUAAAUGGGAGGUAAAUCUCUUCUAAAGCUAAAUACCGGCCAGAGACCGAUAGCGCACAAGUAGAGUGAUCGAAAGAUGAAAAGCACCUUGAAAAGGGGGUUAAACAGUACGUGAAAUUGUUGAAAGGGAAGCGCUUGUGACCAGACUUGCGCCGGGCGGCUCAUCAGGGGUUCUCCCCUGUGCACUCCGCCCGGCUCAGGCCAGCAUCGGUUCUCGUGGGAGGAUAAGAACGGUAGGAACGUGGCCCCCCUCCGGGGGGGUGUUAUAGCCUACCGUACGAUACUCUCGUGGGGACCGAGGUUCGCGCUCCGCAAGGAUGC